GCGACGGGACAGGACGGGACAGAGCGGUGCUGUGAGGAGCCCCCACACACCAGCUCAUUCCUUGCUGACCCAGAGCUUUUCCGAGGCAUUACUCCUGCGGCUGGUCUCACGGCCAGACCUCGGGACUCGCUGACUUGGAGCUUUUCCAAGGCAUCCCCCAUCCCUGCGGCCAGUGCCUUCGUGGCCAGGCUGUGGGACUUGGUGACAUCCAUUGUUCACGAGGAGUCUCCUGUCAUUGUGGCAGGAGCCCUCGGGAACACAGUGCAGGACUUGCUGUCCUGUAGUUUUCCUGAGGCCUCUCUUUUGCAGGUGCCUGCAAGGCGUGACUGCGGCAUCGCUGACUCGGACCUUUGCUGAGGCAUCUGUCUCGAAGGUGUCCUCAAGGUCGGACAGCGGGAUGGCAAGCAGAGUGUUCAGCCUGUUCAGGAGGCUUCGGGGGAGGAAAAAGAACGGCCCUGCAGCUGCCCCAGCGCAGCAGCCUGCAGAACCGGAGCAGUUGCAGCCACUGCAGGAUGAUGCAGCCAAAGACCGGACUCAAGAGCAGGAUCCCACCCGUGGCCACUUCCGCAGAGCGGUGCAGGUAC